ACGACGUCUGCAGUUUUUUGUCCUUCCGUACACGUACCGUCGCGUUUUUUUUUUUUUGCAAUUCGACAAUGUAUUGAAAAACAGAAAAAAAAACUACCGCAUUUUCGCCUGCCCGUCAAAUACAUUUCGCGGACAGUAAAAUAGAAACACGAAUUUUCGCGUCUUCUAAGCGUUUCUAGUCGGGCCGUUUAUUGAAUUUUGAAAAGUCUUGUCCUCCGCCCCCUCCCCCCUUCACAUACCUUAUAAUCCAAUUGAUCAUCGAAACGAUUAAACUACACGUGCAGAUCGAACGUGACUUGUUACGGCGGCGACGUAAAACGUAUUUUUAAAGUGGCCGUAAACGGGUGAAAUCGGCGGUUUUUUCACAGAAAAUGUACAAUAUAUAGAAUACCCUGGGUGCUCGUUAUUGUUACCUAUUUCGAUUAGAAAAAUAAUACACUUCUUCAAGGUCCGCGUAU